AACAUCAAAUCCAUUAAACGCAAAACAAAACCACCCUAAACCAAAUACAAAACGUCACAAAAUAGAAUAUCAGCCAAAUAUUCAUCUUCUCCCAGUGUAUAUCCGCAGUUGAGUCGAAAACGGAAGAAAAAGAAAAGCCUUGAAACCCAGCCAUGGAGAUUCCUCUGAACCUUCUCCAUUUUCAAAGCGUUCCAAAAUAUCUCAACGGUUUUGAAUCCAAACCGUCCAAUCCUCAGCCACCAUCUUUCGCACCGAAUCUGGAGCUCCAUCAACCCAGAAACAAGGGAUUUGGCGUCCCCUUCCUUCCAAUGCCAGGGUAUGUGUCGCCCUAUUAACUGCUCUAGGAACAAAAAUAGAAUCCUCUUCCAGAAGAAGGCACCUAAAACCCAUCUCAAACACAAGCAACAGAGCCCUUUCACACGCCCUAGCUUCAGCAACAAAAGCAUCGACAGCGCCUUCAAAAGGGUAAGUACAUGCCUUCAAAACCUUUGAUAAAAGGUAAUUGGGCUGGGAAAAAAGACGCCAAACUUGUUUUGCUAAUAAGGCUUUAUUAAACAAAAACAGAUCCCGAAAUCCCGCCCACCAACACACUUAGGCUUGCACAGCGCAUUCCAAUUACCCCAAUGGAUACCUUUAGCUGAUUUAUUAUUAGACCAUCAGAAUUUAUUCAAAAUGCCCUCUAACUUGCGACAUAAAGUUUUUGGCAAAGCAAAACAUUGCAUAACAUAUACUGGGAUAGCUUGAAGAACUAACUUAAUGAAUACCUCCUUACCCCCCAAUCGAAAGAUAGCGCAGACUUCACCCAUCAAUUGUUUUUCUGAAACGGUCAACAAAAUUAGCAAAAGCUCACAUUUUCUUCGUUCCAACCAUCAUUGGUAAUCCUAAGUAUUUUUCAGGAUUUGAAGCUACACGAACACCCAAAAUGUUGGUUAUGCUCUCCCUUACAUUAGAAUUCACACUAGCACCAAAAUAAAUAAGAGAUUUAUUGAAAUUCACCCAUUGUCUUGAAACCAACUCAUACUCCCGAAUAAUGUUUCAAACAAUAUUAACCUCUUCACUUGAGGCAUCCCCAAAUAGGAUACAGUCAUCCGCAAAGAAAAAACGGUUAAUCGUGAGUCUUUCCCCUCUAAUAGGAGCAUCCUUCAUCAAAGCCUUCUAUUUGGCUUCAUUAAGUAGUGUAGAGAAACCCUCAGCACAUAUUAAAAAUAGAUAAUGGCUGGGUGAAUCACCCUGUCUUAAUCCUCUUGAAGGUGAAAACCACUCACCAGAAUUCCCAUUGAAGCCCACAGUAUAGGAGACAGAACAAACACAUCUCAUAAUGAGAACAAUCCAACCAGUGUGAAAUUCCAAUUAAAUCAUCAUUCCAGCCAAAAAAUCUCACUCAACACGAUCAUACGCUUUACUCAUAUCAAGUUUAAACGCAAAAUUUCAUUUUCUACUUUUCUUUUUCAUUUUAAGGGAAUGUAAAACCUCAUAAGCGAUUAACACAUUAUCUGAAAUAUGUCUUCCUGGGAUAAAAGCCCAUUGAGCUUCAUUAAUACAACCUCUCAAUAUUGCACUCAUACGCUCCACCAAGACUUUCGCAAUAAUUUUAUAAACCACGUUGCAAAGGCUUAUAAGUCUGAAUUGUGAAAGAUUUUUUGGUUUCUCAACUUUGGGGAUCAAAACAAUAUGGGUUUUAUUAAUUUUCCCCAUGUCAAUUUCACCUUUCAAAACAAAUAAACAGUAACUAGAAAUUUUAGAUCCAACAAUAUGCCAAUACCUCUGAUAGAAAGUUGCUGGAAAGCUAUCAAUUCUAGGAGCCUUCAGAGGUGUCAUCGAUUUGACAACAUGCCCAAUAUCCUCCUUAGUGAAAGGUUUAAGCAGCUCAUCAUUCAUACUCGUAGUGAUUCGCUUCUCCACUAACCCAAACGACCGUUCAUCAUCACCUGUCUCAGAGGCCGAAAAUAAAUUUCCAAAAUACUUCAAGGCGAGUUGUAGCAUCUCCUCAAUCGUUGAAAACCAACGUCCAUCCUCUCCUUCCAAACCGGUUAUCCGAUUACGAUUUUGGCGCUGAACAGCAACUUUAUGAAAAUAACUUGUAUUCUGAUCCCCAUUUUUCAACCAGUCGACACGAGAUCGUUGCUCCCAAAAAAUCUCUUUUUUAUCAGCCUCCAAAUUAAGACCUAGUUGAACAUCCAUGAUUUCGACUAAAACCUUAUCAGGUGGAUUCCUGUUAUAAAGAUCAUGUAGUCGUUCUUCUAAAUCCAAAUGAGUUUUCUUUUGCUUCCUAUUUUUGAAAUGACUCCAAUGUUGAAACGACCCCAAUUUCGCAAGCUUAACCAUGACACUUCCUAAUAAGACAUCCCAAUUCCUCUCUACCUCCUUCUCAAAAGAAUCUUCUAAACACCAUUUGGCCUCAAACUGAAAAGGCUUGACCCCAUAUCGGUGAGCAUUCGUUCGCAUACCGGUCGUGUCCAAAAGAAUCGGACAAUGGUCCAAAAAUGUAUGACUCAAAUGUUCCACUUGGUAACUUGGAAAGAGAUUCAUCCAAGAAAGGUAUUAAGCCAAAAGAAAGGUAUUAAGCCAACAUUACGGUGAUACUAAAUCUUUGGUUCCUCACUUGGCAUAUAUGUAAAGAUGCAUGCACAAAGGCAUGCAAAAAGUGAUAGAUAGUUGCAUAUUAUGGUAAAAACAAGGUGGAAUGUGGCAACAAACAAUCAAACGGACAGUUUGAUCAUGCAGCAUGCUUCUAUAAUAAAUAUAUAGAUAGAUGUUCUGCAAUAUUUCAAAGCAAAUUAAAAUCUGUAAAACUUCAAAAUUGAAGGUUGGGGUGAGGUUUGGAUUGAAUCGAGUGCAAUUUUUUGAGUUAA